rnacentral:miRNA from 1 species
CAAUGACAGUGACGAUGAUGAUGACAAUUAUUAUGACAACAGGGCAGUGCUGAAUAGCCUUCUCAUCAUCAUCAUCAUCAUCGUCAUCAUCAUGA